AAUUAAUGACAGAAUUUCCAUUUUUGGGUGAACUAACCCUUUAAGGAAACUUGAUAUGAGACUGUGCUUCCAUUUUUAGGCUAUCUUGAGUACGGACAGCAGCCCCAGAUGACACCUCUCUUUUUUUAUUUAUUUUUUUUAUUUGAUGACACCUCUCUGAUUAUGCAUCAUAACUGUUCAUGCCAUUAUUAUUACACCCCCAAAUGUUCAUAAUCAAAGCACCUCAUCCAUUAGCCAAUGGACUUCACAAAAAAACUCUCUGAGGGGUCUUACUGAGGUCAGGCAUCGAGCUGUGCAGAGGAAACUCUUGCGCUUGCUUUUAUGCAGGAUAACAGAGAAAGGUCAGAGGCGAUCUACUAAUUAAGAUACUUUGCCUCAGUGGCAUUGGAGGAAUUCCCAUUUGCCAUUUGAAAAUGAAAGGACCAGAUAAUUACGUUCUUUUUGCACAAUUUAACAUUGUAGAGAGCUUGUGCAAAUGCAGCUCAGUUGUACUCAAACAUGUAAACAAAAAUGGCACAAAAAUCUAGUCUACAGAGGGUAUGCACGUGACGUCACCGUCAACCGUUACGACUGCGGUCACGGCCACUGCGUGGCAAAAGACUGAAGGGGCUCGCACACCGGACGCGAAGAUCAGCGCAGAAACAUGUUUUAGUUAUCAUUUUGUGUUAAACUGUUGGAUUUUGAGCCUGUAAUCCUCCAGAUGGCUCUGUAGAGAUAUCCCUCACUUGAUCGUAGAAAAUCUUAUAAAUGGUAGGGACUUUUUAUUGUAUUAGUCAAAAUGAGACACGUUGAGAAUGGUAGUGUUUAAUUUCUUGCCAAUUAUAGCUCUGCACCAUGUGUUCUGAAGGGGAUUUCACCCAAAAAUGGAAAUUCUGUCAUCAUUUACCCACCCUCAUGUCAUUCCACACCUAUAUGAGUUUCUUCAUUCUUUCAUCUUACUGACCCCAAACUUUUGAAGGGUAGUGUAAGUAUAUUUUUGCGUUAAACUGAAGAAAGUAAGUCAGAUUUAGAACAACAUGACAGAAUUCAGAUUUUUGUGUGAAUCAGUUUGUCUAUUUACCUUCUGCAGUUAACAUUGCACUCUUAUUUUAUCUUAUUUAUCUGCUUGAAGAAAUUAACUUUUAAAAUAUACAAUGUGUGUUGAAUAGAGAGAUCACUGUGUACAAACCAUUGUGAUGAUGACGUGACAUUAACAAGUGUUGCAGCCUCUUUUUGUUCAUAAAUAAACAGCAUUCACUGGACGGAGCCCUUCUAAGGAUUUUCCAUACAAACCAGGGACCCCAUUGUCUUCCAUCUGAAAACACUCAUCGGCCACCCAAAAAAGAAUAUGCCUUAGCAAGCAAGUGGCACUCGUUCAAGUUGAGAGUGUGAGGAGCUUACGUCCUGGAGGUUAUCAGACAUAGAGACGGCUGUAGCCCAACAAAGACACUCCCCAGUUUGGAGGCGUACAGAGUUCCUCUGAACAGGAGCUACUGUAGCAGUCCUGCCAAGAUCGUGUGGACGAGCUUGUACUGGUAUUGCUGUAUCAUCACAGCUAGACUGUGCAGGUGACAAGGGCUACAUUUCAGUAAGAACCAUGUGGAGACAAAGACUAUCUUCAUCGCACAUCUUAAGCUGCACAUGACUGAGCAGGUGCCAUGUUGUGUCCUACAAAGUAAAAAAACACUGUGGCCGAGUGGAAAUGAAACAUGAGCCCUUGGAGAGGGACGUUUCCAUGAAAUCUCCCAAUCGAAGUGUACAGAUUGGAGUGUGUCUUGUGAUUCUUCCCGUUUUCCUGUUAUUAUUCCAUUUCCUGUCUGUAAGUAGAAGGAUUAAAAUAGCCGUGCUGAAAUGUAUUGCUCUCUGGGGGAAACAUUUGUGUAGAAAACAUUAAGGAGAGGAGCCUCUUGCUAGUGCAGGCCUCUAUAGUGUUAACAUUUCAUGAACUCUCCGAGACAAUGCCACUGACUCCUGAAAAGGUGGGCAUGACAGGAACAAGAUGUGAAAGGUAAACUUUGUGACUGCAUACAUAUAUAAUGAUGACACCCGCACUAAGAGCACUACGAUAACAGUUGUUUGCACUCUCGCCUCACUUUCAAAAUGACAGUAUUGUUUAGAGCCCUCAGUGGUGAACAUUCUGUCUCCAUGAGACAAGCUUGUGGGUGUAUUAUCUGUUAUAUCUCAUCAAAUUUGUUGUCUUACACAGCCUAUUACUUUUAUUCCCAUUUCACAUUUCUGCAGAUGUUUAUGUAAUUUGAUUUCAUUUGAUGUUGAGAUUGAAAUGGAAUGUGUAGUCACACAAUAAAGUAAUUUGAUUAUUGUAGAUAUUUAAGCUAAAUUUAAACAUCUAAAUUUAUAUCUUCAGACACCAGCCAAAAUCUGUUUUGUUUUGUUUUGUUUUGUUGUUUUUCUUUUGUUUUGUUUCGUUUCCGAGACGUUUAAUAGCAACUAUUUUGUUUUACCAAACAAGUUUGACCUCUUGACUUUGAUUUGGACUAAUCUAUGACAGUUUGUCUGCUUUCAAAAACCAAUAAACAAAUGGGAUCAAAAUAAAACAAUGUGAUUCUAGUCCAAACAAUUGCCGUGGUUGCUAUGAUGACAUUGCAUACAGUAUUUAGGGCUUGUUCACAUGCACCAACGCAAAAUGUGAUGCAAAACAUUAUAGGGAAUCCUGUGUGUGUGUGUGUGUGUGUGUGUGUGUGUGUGUGUGUGUGUGUGUGUGUGUGUGUGUGAGAGAGAGAGACUGUGGGUGAGUUGUUCUUUUUUUAGACAGGUGUAACAGGAGACUAACCUGUGAGGCUACAUGGCUUCAAACAACAGCAUGAAUUAUUUAAUUUCAUAUUGCUUUCCUUUGCCAUGCCAAAUCCUGUCUCAACAGAAAAACUACAAACUACAAAAAUAAUGAAGACUACAGCACUUAUUAAAAAGCAGAUAUCAAGAUUUUAGCAUUUGCCUCUCGCUAUUUAUUUAGUUAAUCAACGCUGUGAUGCAUUCCAGUAAUGCGCUUUCUUUAAUUCAAUUUCACACAUGAGCCAUUAAAUCAAUUAGGCAAUUUUCUAUUAAAGCGCCAGAGACAAAGUUCACUUUGAAAUGGAUUUUACAUGGGUCAGAAGUAACGUUGACUCUUCCAAAGACUGUUUAAACUUUCUCUGUUUCAUUUUUGUUUACAUCUC